rnacentral:rRNA from 1 species
AUGUCUCUUUGUAAACAAGAUAUAAGGAGUCUGGCCUGCCCGGUGACAUAGUUUAACGGCUGCAGUAUCCUGACUGUGCAAAGGUAGCAUAAUAACUUGCCUUUUAAUUAGAGGAUAGAAUCAACGGCUUGACGAGAGCAAAGCUGUCUUUUUUGUUUUUACUAGAAUUUAUCUUUUAAGUUAAAAGGCUUAAAUAUAAUUAAAAGACGAUAAGACCCUAUUGAGCUUUAAAGAAAUAAAAUAAUUGUUUGUUAUUGACAAGAUCAAUAGUAGUUUUAAAAAAUUUUGGUUGGGGCGACUGCGGAGUAUAAGAAACCUCCGUGAUUAGAAAUUAACUUCUAUUUUUGAUCCAUACUUUAUGAUAAGGGGAAUUAGUUACCAUAGGGAUAACAGCGCACUGCUCUUAGGAAGACCUGAUUUUUAAGAGAGAUCGCGACCUCGAUGUUGGAUUAAGGUAUACUGAAAGGCGCAGAAGCUUUUUAAGUUAGUCUGUUCGACUAUUAAACCCUU